rnacentral:rRNA from 1 species
CCUACGGGAGGCUGCAGUAGGGAAUCUUUCACAAUGGGCGAAAGCCUGAUGGAGCAACGCCGCGUGCAGGAUGAAGGCCUUCGGGUUGUAAACUGCUUUUAUAAGCGAGAAAUAUGAUGGUAACUUAUGAAUAAGGAUCGGCUAACUACGUGCCAGCAGCCGCGGUCAUACGUAGGAUCCGAGCAUUAUCCGGAGUGACUGGGUGUAAAGAGUUGCGUAGGUGGCAUAAUAAGUAGCUAGUGAAAUCUGGUGGCUCAACCAUUCAGACUAUUAGCUAAACUGUUAAGCUCGAGACCGUUAGGGGUAACUGGAAUGUCUAGUGUAGGAGUGAAAUCCGUAGAGAUUAGAAGGAACACCAAUAGCGUAGGCAGGUUGCUGGGACGGUUCUGACACUAAGGCACGAAAGCGUAGGGAGCAAACGGGAUUAGAUACCCCCGUAGUC